rnacentral:lncRNA from 1 species
GCCCUUUUUUACAUUUGACACGGGAUCUUAAUAAAUUGGCCAGGCUGGCCUGGAACUCGCCAUCCUCCUUCCUCAGCUUCCAGAGUAGCCGGGACAUGCACCACCACACCCGGGCCAUCUUUUCUACCUUGGAGGUCACAUUUUGGUCAACAGGAAACAUGGCUGAGCACGGUUUUCUCUUCUGAAAAUCCCUGGGAUGUGGUUUGAGGAAAACUUGAGAAACAGAACAUCGGGCAGGGGAUUUAGCUCGGUGGUUCCGCCGCCUGCCUCGCAAGCGCAAGGACCCGAGUUCGAUCCCCAGUGCCAAAAAAAAGAAAAAAACCAAAAUGAAUAGUGUAAUACUACUGUAGUUGGGUAGUAUGAAGGUCAUGUAACUUCAGUGGCUUCCUCCCUUGCAGAAGGAAUAACAAUGUUACUACCAACCCCCAAUCGCUGUGAGGAUUACAAAACAUAAUUUAUGUAAACCUAUCUUAUAAAAAUACUAAAAACCUGGGCCAGGGAAUUUAGCUCUGGUGCCAUCGCCUGCCUCGCAAGCACAAGGUCCUGAGUUCGAUCCCCGGUACCAAAAAAACCCCCUAAAAACCUUGUUUACCAUGUUAGAAAGUGUUCAGCCUUUAACCUCGUUCAUAUUGUAAUUCUGAGUGUUCCUCAUGGAUGUGAACGCUCCUUCACCCUGGUCAUUAUCUCUUAGCUGAGGUUCAGUACCAGUGUAUUUAAUACCUUUAGUGACAGGACUGGGGGAGGAAGGGGCUAAAAAAGAAUUAGGAUGUAUUAUGCACAUUUAUGAGCUCAUAAGGAAUGCAAUCAUUAGGUACUGUAAACUUGUACCAAAGAAGAAAAAGAGCAUACCGGAAUUGGCCAGGCAUGGCGGCUCAAGCCUCAAGUACAUAGUGAAAGAGGAGAGAGCAGAUGCGAGUGUACAGUUUGCAGUAUUUAAGGAAGAGCUGAAUAGGAUACGGAAUCUUCAUAGUGCCAACAACUCCAAAGCAAAUAACUGUGGCUUUCAUCUCUUUUAUAAUUUAUAUUGCAUCAAGCAGUUACUCCCUAUAUGUGUAUUAAUUAAUUCAAAUCAUACGCUCUUCAAAUACAAAGAUGAAUACUACAGGAUAAACUAUAACUACAAUAUGUAUUUCCUAAGAGAAACACCAAAGGGAAUUUCUCCUUCCAAUGUCUUGAUUUAA